AGAGUUUGAUCAUGGCUCAGAACGAACGCUGGCGGCAGGCCUCAAACAUGCAAGUCUAGGGGGUGUAGCAAUACAUCACCGGCGGACGGGUGCGUAACGCGUGGGAAUGUACCUAUUGGUUCGGAACAACUGAGGGAAACUUCAGCUAAUACCGGAUGAGCCCGAAAGGGGAAAGAUUUCUCGCCAAUAGAUCAGCCCGCGUCCGAUUAGCUAGUUGGUGGGAUUAAAGCCUACCAAGGCGACGAUCGGUAGCUGUUCUGAGAGGAAGAUCAGCCACACUGGGACUGAGACACGGCCCAGACUCCUACGGGAGGCAGCAGUUGGGAAUCUUGGCNCAAUGGGGGAAACCCUGACCCAGCCA
rnacentral:rRNA from 1 species